rnacentral:rRNA from 1 species
UACGAAGGGGGCUAGCGUUGCUCGGAAUUACUGGGCGUAAAGGGCGCGUAGGCGGAUAUCUAAGUUGGGGGUGAAAUCCCGGGGCUCAACCUCGGAAUUGCCUUCAAAACUGGAUAUCUUGAGUUCGGGAGAGGUGAGUGGAACUCCGAGUGUAGAGGUGAAAUUCGUAGAUAUUCGGAAGAACACCAGUGGCGAAGGCGACUCACUGGCCCGAUACUGACGCUGAGGCGCGAAAGCCAGGGGAGCGAACGGG